rfam:Salmo salar isolate Sally breed double haploid chromosome ssa21, whole genome shotgun sequence.
UCCCGUGUGGCUCAGUUGGUAGAGCAUGGCGCAUGCAACGCCAGGGUUGUUUGUUUGAUUCCCAUGGGAG